rnacentral:misc_RNA from 1 species
AGCCAUCCUCCAUUUUAUGCAAACCUCUACUAAUUUCACAGCGGAAAUACAAAAGUUCCUUUUUCUCCUGCAUCUCUGCGAUUUGUGCCACGAUUUCUUGUUCAUCUUUUUGUUACGCAUAUUAUAUUCGUCUUGCAUCAAAUUAGUUUAACUGUCAAUGCGAAUGGCAGUUUGGUCCGUUCUAUAUGCAUCGGAACUUGUGCUUAUGCGAGCAAGACGGCGAUGUCCUAAUAUGCAACGGGUGCAGGCCGCGAUAGGUGACAGGAAUACGGCAAGACGAUAAGGACCGCCGUUGUUUAGAACUGUCGGGGAAGAAACGAGACCAAAGGAAGCAGGAAUGAGAAAAUGAAAAAGUGGAAGGUGGUUGGCGAGCGAGGAUGAGAGGGAGAAAGAGCGGGAACUCUGCUCCAAAAGCACUGUAGAAAGGAGAGAACGAACGUUAUUAACACUAUGCAUCAUACACCAGCUACAGGCCGGGGAACGAGCAGCGAGGCUUUUUAUCGCUCGGAAGAUAGGAUGCUCUCGGAGGAUAUCGCUACAAGUUUAGGCAACGAGCGAGCGGAUGCGAGAACACGGCAACAGAUACCAUCUGUGUGCGCUGCAUUCCAUUUGCUGACAAGUUCGGUCAGAUAAGGAACACGAUGAUCUUUUGCUGGCUUUACUGCUACAGUGAAUGGAAAUUCGGCCAGGUGACUUUGCGAGUUGAUAACUCGCAGGCAUGUGGACGGGACAUGUAAGUACGGCAUUAACCCACAUUAGCAGCAGUCUCGGGCAAAAUGAAUUAAAUCGUCCAAUACGUCUGAUUUUAGACCCCGACAGUUGUUUUGCUCGAUUUAAUUCACUUCGCUUCGCUAUCGAUCGCGUGUAUUUGUCUUAUUAGUUGCAUUGUCCGCCGUUAGUGUGACGUUCCGUAUUUUGAUUGUUUAUUCGCAACGAGAUAUAAAAUUUGAAUAUCAUGCAAUAUUGCUCCGUCGGGAUCUUGCGCUCGGACAAUUCGACUAUUGAAAAUACGUAUUUUAUUUGAAAUUUCGAAUGCGCACGCGGCUUGACAGUUCCGACUAUACCUUGUAAUACUGCACGAAAGUGCCUCUUUCUGCUGGAUAAUAUAAAAGCACUUCCACUGAUUCCGAACUGUCGCAUGUAAGAUUCAAUGCAUACGAUGUGCAUCACGUCCGAUAACAACCGAAUCUUUUGUACGGAAUGCAGAAUACAUGAUAUGAAAUAGAUAGAAAAA